UACAUGGGGUGCAAACGUUGCUCGGAAUUAUUGGGCGUAAAGCGCACGUAGGCGGUCCGUUAAGUCGGAUGUGAAAUCCCCCGGCUCAACCGGGGAAGUGCAUCCGAAACUGGCGGGCUAGAGUACGAAAGAGGGUCGCGGAAUUCCCGGUGUAGAGGUGAAAUUCGUAGAUAUCGGGAGGAACAGCGGUGGCGAAGGCGGCGACCUGGGUCGAUACUGACGCUGAGGUGCGAAAGCGUGGGGAGCAAACAGG
rnacentral:rRNA from 1 species